GCCAACAAGGUUCCACGUAUUAGUCCAGUGGCUUCCAUGUGUCCAUAUGGAGACACAUGUCAAUCCCACAUAUGGACACCUGAUCACAUUUUUGAAACAUUUUUGUUAUGCAACUGCAUCAUAUAUAUGAGCUAUUGCAACAUAUAUGUGUGCUACUAGAAUAUUAAAUAACUUUGCAAAUUUCACUAUAUGAGGUGCAACAUUAAACUAUUAUUUCAUACAAACAAAAGUUAAUAACAAAUCCAACCAAACCAAACUAUCUAACAAAUCCAACCAAAUCAAAGUACUAUUAUUCUAUCUAGCAGACACUAUGUAGUGCUAUUUUAUUUUAUCCUACUCUAGUGUUAUGUGUCCAUGCCACUGCAGCAGACAUAUUGCAAUCCAUAUCAACUAGAGCAGCUGCAAUUUGAGAAAAUCAGACCUGGUCUGUCCAUUCCCGUUAUCUCAAUGGUUGUCUUUUCAGUUGAGACAUGCCAUGGUUUCACAUANUAUCUCAAUGGUUGUCUUUUCAGUUGAGACAUGCCAUGGUUUCACAUCCCUGCCAAUACUUGGUUUGACUUCCAUUUUUUCUUUCUUGCACACAUUGCCUGUUAAGUUAUACAGACAAACAUAUAUGAUCAGGAUCUAAAGUUUUAUGAUUCAUAUGAGUGUGUUUGCUCAUAUCUAAGGAUCUAAAACAUAUAUUAUACCAGCAAGUUUAAUGAUUCAUAUGAGUGUGUCUUUUUUUUUAAUUACCAGCA
rnacentral:lncRNA from 1 species